GCCGCAGUCCCUCAACUGGUGGAGGAGCUGUGUGGAAGACAGCCGGCCGGCAAUACCGGCUUGCAGGUUCGAGUCCUGUCUGCGGCG
rnacentral:tRNA from 1 species